rnacentral:rRNA from 1 species
UACGUAGGGGGCAAGCGUUGUCCGGAUUUAUUGGGCGUAAAGCGCACGCAGGCGGUCUCUUAAGUUUCGAGUGACAGGUCAGGGCUUAACCCUGGCAGGCCUUGGAAAACUGGGGGACUUGAGGGCUUCAGAGGGACGCGGAAUUCCAGGUGGAGCGGUGAAAUGCGCAGAUAUCAGGAGGAACACCGAUGGCGAAGGCAGCUCGCUGGGACGGUACUGACGCUGAGGCGCGAAAGCGUGGGGAGCAAACAGG